AGAGUUCGAUCCUGGCUCAGGAUGAACGCUGGCGGCGCGCCUAACACAUGCAAGUCGAACGGCACCCACCUUCGGGUGGAAGCGAGUGGCGAACGGCUGAGUAACACGUGGAGAACCUGCCCCCUCCCCCGGGAUAGCCGCCCGAAAGGACGGGUAAUACCGGAUACCCCGGGGUGCCGCAUGGCACCCCGGCUAAAGCCCCGACGGGAGGGGAUGGCUCCGCGGCCCAUCAGGUAGACGGCGGGGUGACGGCCCACCGUGCCGACAACGGGUAGCCGGGUUGAGAGACCGACCGGCCAGAUUGGGACUGAGACACGGCCCAGACUCCUACGGGAGGCAGCAGUGGGGAAUCUUGCGCAAUGGGGGGAACCCUGACGCAGCGACGCCGCGUGCGGGACGGAGGCCUUCGGGUCGUAAACCGCUUUCAGCAGGGAAGAGUCAAGACUGUACCUGCAGAAGAAGCCCCGGCUAACUACGUGCCAGCAGCCGCGGUAAUACGUAGGGGGCGAGCGUUAUCCGGAUUCAUUGGGCGUAAAGCGCGCGUAGGCGGCCGCCUAAGCGGAACCUCUAAUCCCGGGGCUCAACCUCGGGCCGGGUUCCGGACUGGGCGGCUCGAGUGCGGUAGAGGCAGGCGGAAUUCCCGGUGUAGCGGUGGAAUGCGCAGAUAUCGGGAAGAACACCGAUGGCGAAGGCAGCCUGCUGGGCCGCCACUGACGCUGAGGCGCGAAAGCUGGGGGAGCGAACAGGAUUAGAUACCCUGGUAGUCCCAGCCGUAAACGAUGGGCGCUAGGUGUGGGGGGACAGUCCCCCCGUGCCGCAGCCAACGCAUUAAGCGCCCCGCCUGGGGAGUACGGCCGCAAGGCUAAAACUCAAAGGAAUUGACGGGGGC
rnacentral:rRNA from 1 species